UACGUAGGGGGCAAGCGUUAUCCGGAUUCACUGGGUGUAAAGGGAGCGUAGACGGCGACGCAAGUCUGGAGUGAAAGCCCGGGGCCCAACCCCGGGACUGCUCUGGAAACUGCGUCGCUGGAGUACGGGAGGGGCAGGCGGAAUUCCUAGUGUAGCGGUGAAAUGCGUAGAUAUUAGGAGGAACACCAGUGGCGAAGGCGGUCUGCUGGACAGCAACUGACGCUGAGGCGCGAAAGCGUGGGGAGCAAACAGG
rnacentral:rRNA from 1 species